rnacentral:rRNA from 1 species
AACGAACGCUGGCGGCGUGCCUAACACAUGCAAGUCGAGCGCGAAAAGAGCAAUCUGAGUAGAGCGGCGCACGGGUGCGUAACACGUGGGUAAUCUGCCUCGAGGUCUGGGAUAACCUUCCGAAAGGUUGGCUAAUACCAGUUAAGCUCACGGUGACUUCGGUCGCUGAGAGAAAAGGGGCCCGAAAGGGUCUCGCCACGAGAUGAGCCCGCGGCCCAUCAGCUAGUGGUGAGGUAACGGCCCACCAAGGCUACGACGGGUAGCUGGUCUGAGAGGACGAUCAGCCACACUGGAACUGAGACACGGUCCAGACUCCUACGGGAGGCAGCAGUGGGGAAUUUUGCACAAUGGGCGAAAGCCUGAUGCAGCAACGCCGCGUGUGUGAUGAAGGGUCUUCGGGAUCGUAAAGCACUUUCGACCGGGACGAACAAGCCUGGCCACACCAGGCCCUGACGGUACCGGGAGGAAGAAGCACCGGCUAACUCUGUGCA